UAUUCUGUUUACCUGUUUACACCUGAAUCUAUAGCUAAAAUGAUAUCCACAAGUUAGAAUAUUUUGGAUCUUCAAGAUUAAAGUUUGCAUCUCUUUGAAAGAUACGUUGAUCAUUAUUUCUUUUUGCAGGAAGAACAAAUUCAAGGGAUUGCUAAGGGUCAGUUGCGAGCACAGCGUUUCAGUUUCGAAGUGCAGCUUAAACUUCAUCAUGUAAGACAAUAUGAUGUUACAAAGUAUAAUGUUAGACAGAUUCAGAGAAGUGCCCUGAGUCAUUACUGAGUUGUAUGUUUCAAUUACAUUGUGCAGGUGAAGGGUCGAGAUGUUAAAAAUAAAAUAUGCGUAAUAAGUAAAAGGAGAAAACGCAUCAGAUGUAGUAUAACAUGAUUUCAAUGCGAGAUCGGAAUCAUACGCAGACAUUCGAUGCUUCUGCCCAUACACUAACUGCGGCCUCCGGACAGCUAGGCAACCAAAGAGUGUGUUCGCACACACACCUUCGUGCUUCCCUUUGGCGGAGAAAAAGCAUCAAAUCCCUGUCGAUGAAUUCUUGCAGCGUCGGACAAAGUAAUUCCUCAUACCGGUUUCACUGCCUCGCCAAAUGUAGUGUCGGGUCACAACAACCAGCAUUAAAGCUUUGCCCGUGCCGAUCAGAAAAAGCCAAACAAAGGAGGAGAAAAAUUAUCAACGUUAUGUAAGAACAAGGGUAAAAUUCUAACCAUCAAAUUCCAACAUCGUUGUGUUGCAUCGAAAAGCAUUCAGUUUCAAACCUCUGAUUGUAUCAUAGCUCGGUGUAUUUUCUUAACAAAUUUGGUGCAGGUAAAUCGUAUACACUGAGCGCAGGGUGCGGUAACUAAAAGUGUGCAGGUAUUUAAUACCCGCACGCUAGUUACCGCACUGUUGGAUAGGAAAGUAUGCCAGCAGACAGCUAACAGCAGACAGCGACGUGCAUUUUAUUGAUUUUCUGCGCUCGCAUUGGUAUAUUUUACCUGAGCUUUACACAUUUGUAAAGUAAGGAUUUCAAGUACUCACUGAACUGCUGUAUAUGGCAAGUGGAACGCCUACUGAAGUACCAUAUAUGGGCUAUGAUACAAAACAGAAAGAACAUUAAAACUCUCGGGUAAACGAUUUAUAAUCGGAGGCUACGCCCCCUCGUACAAAUCGUUUACCCUCGAGUUUCAAUGCUCUUUCUGUUACAUAACUUCUUCUAUCUUAUAAAGUUUGAGAGAAGUUAUCUCUUUAUUCAUGUGCUUGUAGAGUUAUAUCUUUAUUUUCACAUCCAGAAGAUGUAAGGUAUUAGAGGUUUUGAGGUUUCUGUGGCUGUGUUUUUAGUGCUUUGCGCUUCCGAGAGAUCUACCCUUACCUAUUAUUUUCUGAACUGCUUGAAUUUUGAUGCAAAAUCAUGUGGUUGGAUUACGCAAAGGGCUGGAUGGCAAAGACAAAAUGGUACAUAUGUGAAAAAAUGAUCAAUCAGAAGUCAGAAUUCUGUUGAAGUGUUGAAGUUUUGAAUGUCUUUCUACCUUACGCAAUGUUCAGUGUAAAAUUUGAGUGAAAUGUUGUUUUAAGUUUGACUAAAGUAGUUUUCUAAAUAUCCCAUGCUACAUUUGACAAAGACGCUUGCUUGAUCUAAUGCAUCUACGAUAUGAUAGACCAAACUUGUCUGCCAAGUACACUAGAUAAGAAAAAGGCACAACCAGCAUGAGUGAACUUGUUCAUUCAUACAGCUGAAUACCUUUGUAUCUUAGUAUGGCAAACCAGUCGGUAUAGCAUUAAAUACGGACAAAUGGGUCAUGAUAAAGACUUAUGAUACAAACGAACCGACACUAAACCUUCAUCUCGGAGUACUUUUCUGUGUUGACUAUUAUUAUCAUUUAUAAAUGAAGACAAACUCAACAAGCAAGACUGUGCCUCUUUUACGGGCAUUGACUCUUGCAUGGGCAAAUAUCAACAUUCAAACAAUACAGGCAAAUAUGAAAUACAUCGGAGUCUAUUAUUAUCUAUUAUGGUAAAAGGUUUAUCUCUUUCCUGUCAAAAAGCACACAGCGCUGCUAACAGUCUUUAGCAUUCAGUCUCUAUUUUGGCAGCCUGUAAUAGAAAAUGAAUAUCUAUGCUACUGAAAUGCAUUUCAAUUUCUUCAAAAGAAAGUGAAUAGGAUUUUAAUAUUUAUGACAGUAAUUCAAAGUAAAAAUGUGUGUUGAAAUUCAACAUAUCGGCAAAGUAUUUAUGGAAUAAAUACCUGAUGUUUUUCCUCAAGAAAUACGCUGUCACACUGCUGUAGGUUAGAAGAAAUUGAACAUCUUUGCAGAUCACCACUUCACAACAAUUCUUUGAAAAAAGUGUUCAUAUUUUAAUGUUUUCUGCAUCACACAAAAUCAAAUGUAGCAAUGUUUCUACAGCCUUACAGAAUGUAUCAAGCUGAAAUGGCAUUGUAUUUGUUGAAAUUCAAUAUAAUCUGCUCAGUAUUGGUAAAAAGAAUACUUGAUUAUAUCUCCAUAAUACUGAUGUAAAACGUCUGCCUCACACCACCUCAGUAUGCUUCUAAAAAUUGAAAACUCUGGCCAGUACACAUCACAUCAGGGCGCUCUGAAGAAAAAGAAGCAAAAUUAAUCAUCAAUCAGUGCGUUUUGAUAAUUCAUUAUGCCAAAGUGCUUAUUCAUUUUCACACACAUAAAAUGAGACAAAAUCUGGUCUGGAAAUAUUUCCAUUGUGUACAAGUAAACGUCGCAGAAAGCUUGGCUUGUUCAACCGUUCAAAUAACAAGCAACAGCAAUGGAUGAAAGCAUGCAUUCGGUGACUCAAAAAAACUGAAAUAAAUCAUAUUCAAUCGGUCAAAAUGCUUAUCUAUUCUUUCAACCAACACAUCAUUGAAAAUAAGGUAUAGAAAUUCCACCUUGCGGCAUGCUAAAACCUAUUUCAAACGCCAUCAGUUCAUCUAGCUUUGGCUGGCCCCAUUUUUAAUUUUGCUACAGCGUCAAGACAAAAUCGAUCUACCUUUGCAUGCAGAAUUCAGCUCAUGUAAUUGCCAUCCGACUUUAUCCUUGGUAGUUUUCAAUGGCAGACAUUUUUAGACGUAUUUUCUCUAUUUUCCUGUUCCCUCCAUCUGCAAACACAAUAAUACGUUUUAUUUUACAAAAAUAUUUUCGGGCUCUAGAAGGCAUGUCUCCAGCUCUAUGCUGAACAUAGCUUGACCUCACCUGACUGAGGUCACCGCCAAGAUUUUCGGGAAAGCAGUCUAAAUUUUCAAUCGGGUUUCCAGAAAAAGACGACAUAUGGUUCAUGACAGGGCCACUUCAAAUCAAUGUAUUGAAUUGAAGUUGAAAAUAGUCUCAUUGAAUUGCCAUAGACAUCUAUCCUUGUAUCAAAUAUUGUCAGCUUCAUAUCUUGUUGUAGCAUUUCUAUUUUAGACUGUCUCCCUUUCCCAUGUUCUUAUUAUUGUCAUGGAAGUCAUAGCGCUGUCCAUAUCCUCUUCAAGUGUCAUAAGUGUGCAAUAAAUUGAACGAACACCAAUAGAAAUACCCCCACCCCUGUGGUGUAACAGUAACUAAAGUUCACACUACUAAAUAUCAGCAACAACAACAACUACUGUUCACUAUAAUAACUACUGUUUAAUAUUGUACUAAGUUCUAAGAUAAUAUUUACAUCAAUGUCUUUCUUCAUAAUUCUCUAACAUAAAACUCUGUUAUUUCAAAUAAAAUGUGAACUUUAACAUUAGUACUUCAUCGUUAAUUGCCUCAGUUCUAAUCUAACUAAUUCAUUUUGCGAGUAUAGAACAUACGCAUCUAACCUAACUGAGUACCAGAAUGAUACUGAAGUUUUGUCUCAAAACUUCUGCUUAUGAAAGAAAUGAUUCGUGACUUGAGUCAUGUGGCGUGAUCAAAAGACCGGGUGUUUAUAAUUACCCUGUCAUUUAUCCAGUUAGUCAGUUUUCAAAACAAUUAGUAAUUUUGAAACAUGCAUUGCUGGACAAUGCAUUAACUGGGCGAUAUAAUGUAACCUGUCAUUUAAUGCACAUGACUAAUUUCUAGACCGUAAAGCUAAGUGUGAAAAGGAAUGCGAAAUAUAUUCUUAAAGUACAUGACUUAUUAUCGACCGAAAAGAUAUCUGAAAAGAAUGCCUAAGAAGUAUUUGGUAUAAUGGAUUCUUUGAAACCAUUAUAGCACACCCCUCCUAUUUUAUAGGGCGAUUGUGGGAUCUUUUUCCAGUUCAUUUUUCCUCUUUUCUCGCACAAAAAUGUCUUUUCAACAAAAUAGGGAAAAGUGGAAACUUCACAGGUCGUUCAACACGACAAAAACGAAAAUGUUGCAGGUUCGGUUUGAUUGAGCCUGUUCCCUGUUCAUGCCUACAUUUGUAAACAAAAUUACAUUUCAAUUCACAUUUAAUCUAAAACCAAUUUUGGUAUAUUCUACAGUUUAGGCAGUGGCAAAUUGUCAUAAUAUUAUAAUAUGUCAUAAAAAUCGUGUGCUGAAAAAUAGAAAAAAACAUUGGAUGAAACACAUAAUAACUACUUCCAAACACAUUAAUACUAUUUAUUGAUAAUUAUGAAUGUAAAUGAUUUACAUGUGUAUUAAAGAGCAAAAAAUAUGAGACAUUUACGUUAAACUUAACACGCAGAUUCAGCAAUCUCCUUGUUUACAAGAAAUGAAAAGUAUAAUAUCAUAGACAAUAUUUAUGUUGCAUUAUAGACAAAUAUAGUUAUUUUUACUCAUGGAAGGUUGUUGUCAGGUUAUUAACGUUAAGCAAUACUACCUUGGCGGCAAGUGCAAUGCCUUGGUCUGUACUGUUCGCUAUUCAGUUACAAAAUUUUUAAAGAACGCCUGUUUGAAUAAUAAGUGUUACUUCGAAACUGAAUGAGGGACCAGUCCGUUUUAAAAAUUGAGCAGGAUAAAGGAUAACGUCUUUGUAGCAGAGUCUAGAUUCACUUUAUUAUCUAAAUUGGUGAAAUAAUUCAGUUAUUAUAUUUUUAUUUGUGUAUUCUUAUAUAUUCUUAAAGCAGUCGUAUUAGUACUCCGUACUCUUUGCAUAAUGUCUGUACUCUGUGUUAAGUUAUACUGUAUUGUACUCCGUGUUAAUAUGAUCAUAUGUCCAGUCGUG